UACGUAGGGGGCAAGCGUUAUCCGGAUUUACUGGGUGUAAAGGGUGCGUAGGCGGUGUAGCAAGUUAGAAGUGAAAUACCUAGAGCUUAACUCAGGUGCUGCUUCUAAAACUGCUAUACUUGAGUGCAGUAGAGGAAAGUGGAAUUCCUAGUGUAGCGGUGAAAUGCGUAGAGAUUAGGAAGAACACCAGUGGCGAAGGCGACUUACUGGACUGUAACUGACGCUGAGGCAUGAGAGCAUGGGGAGCAAACAGG
rnacentral:rRNA from 1 species